AUGAUCACUCUCGGCAAUGGGAAGUUGGCUUCGUUCUGGCUAUCUCCAUGGAUCACCUCCCAACCCUGGCCACUUUGUUCCCAGACUUGUUCAAGCGCUCGAAAGGAAAAAAACAAGUGUGUAGCCGAUGCCCUUGCAGACGACUCUUGGGUUCAAGAUAUCAGACUCCGCUCCAAUGAUGGCCUUGUUCACAGUUUCCUGGUCCUCUGGAGGGCACUGCGGACAGUAAACCCGGUGUUGCAUCCUCACAUCGAGGACAGGAUCACAUGGUGCAUUCAGAACACUGGCACAUACAGUGCAAAAUCAGCAUACAAGUUGCAAUUCAAAGACUGCAUGAAGACGGACAACAAACAACUCAUCUGA
rnacentral:rRNA from 1 species